GAUGAACGCUGACAGAAUGCUUAACACAUGCAAGUCUUUGGCGAAGCUGUGCUCGCACAGCCUAGCCAAGGCGGACGGGUGAGUAACGCGUAAGGAACUUGCCCUGCAGUCAGGGAUAACAGACGGAAACGACUGAUAAGACCUGGUAAAGUCAGGCGGACUCAUGUCCAGCCUGAUGAAAAGAGAUGCUGCAGGAGAGCCUUGCGUCCUAUUAGCUUGUUGGUGGGGUAACGGCCCACAAAGGCGAUGAUAGGUAGCCGGCCUGAGAGGGUGGACGGCCACAAGGGGACUGAGAUACGGCCCUUACUCCUAGGGGAGGGAGCAGGGGGGAAUAUUGGACAAGGGGGGCAACCCUGACACGGCAAUUCUGCGUGCAAGAUGAAGGUUUUCGGAUUGUAAAGUGCUUGCAGCAGGGAAGAAAAAAAUGACGGUACCUGCAGAAGAAGCGACGGCUAAAUACGUG
rnacentral:rRNA from 1 species